CUUGAACGUAUGGUGCAUGAGGCGAAAGUUCUCUUUCUAGCAAUUAGACUUCAUACGAGGUGCUGCAUGGUUGUCGUCAGCUCGUGCCGUUGAGGUGUUAGGUUAAGUCCUGCAACGAGCGCAACCCCUAUCUUUAGUUGCCAUCAGGUUAAGCUGGGCACUCUAGAGAGACUGCCUGCGCAAGCAGGAGAGGAAGUGGGGAUGACGCCAAAUCAGCACGGCCCUUACGUCCAGGGCUACACACGUGCUACAAUGGCCGGUACAGAGGGCAGCUACUUAGUGAUAAGAUGCGAAUCUCCAAAGCCGGUCUUAGUUCGGAUCGAAGUCUGCAACUCGACUUCGUGAAGCUGGAUUCGCUAGUAAUCGUAUAUCAGCCAUGAUACGGUGAAUACGUUCCCGGGCCUU
rnacentral:rRNA from 1 species